rnacentral:rRNA from 1 species
CCUAGGGGUGCAGCAGUGGGGAAUAUUGCACAAUGGAGGAAACUCUGAUGCAGCAACGCCGCGUGGAGGAUGACACUUUUCGGAGCGUAAACUCCUUUUAUAUAGGAAGAAGAUGACGGUACUAUAUGAAUAAGCGCCGGCUAACUCCGUGCCAGCAGCCGCGGUAAUACGGAGGGCGCAAGCGUUACUCGGAAUCACUGGGCGUAAAGAGCGUGUAGGCGGAUUAAAAAGUCAGAAGUGAAAUCCUAUAGCUUAACUAUAGAACUGCUUCUGAAACUCUUAAUCUAGAAUAUGGGAGAGGUAGAUGGAAUUUCUGGUGUAGGGGUAAAAUCCGUAGAGAUCAGAAGGAAUACCGAUUGCGAAGGCGAUCUACUAGAACAUUAUUGACGCUGAGACGCGAAAGCGUGGGGAGCAAACAGGAUUAGAUACCCGGGUAGUC